rnacentral:rRNA from 1 species
UUCCGGUUGAUCCUGCCGGACCCGACUGCUAUUUGGGUGAGGAUAAGCCAUGCGAGUUGAAUGGGAAACCUAAAGUUCCCAUGGCAAACUGCUCAGUAACACAUGAUCAACUUACCCUAUAGAGAAAAAUAACCUCGGGAAACUGAGGAUAAUGUUUCAUAGUUGAAUUGGCUUGGAAAAGUUUUUCGACGAAAGGGGUAAAAAAAAUGGUUUUUAUCUGCUAUAGGAUAGGAUCGUGUUCGAUUAUGGUUGUUGGUGAGGUAAUGGCUCACCAAGCCGAUAAUCGAUAGGGGCCGUGAGAGCGGGAGCCCCGAGAUGGGUACUGAGACAACGACCCAGGCCUUACGAGGCGCAGCAGGCGCGAAACCUCCGCAAUACACGAAAGUGUGACGGGGUUACUCAAAGUGUUCAAUUUUGAACUGUGGUAGGUGAGUAAUGUUCCCUACUAGAAAGGAGAGGGCAAGGCUGGUGCCAGCCGCCGCGGUAAAACCAGCUCUUCAAGUGGUCGGGAUAAUUAUUGGGCUUAAAGUGUCCGUAGCCGGUUUAGUAAGUUCUUGGUAAAAUCGGGUAGCUUAACUAUCUAUAUGCUAGGAAUACUACUAUACUAGAGGGCGGGAGAGGUCUGAGGUACUGCAGGGGUAGGGGUGAAAUCUUAUAAUCCUUGUUGGACCACCAGUGGCGAAGGCGUCAGACUGGAACGCGCCUGACGGUGAGGGACGAAAGCCAGGGGAGCGAACCGGAUUAGAUACCCGGGUAGUCCUGGCCGUAAACGAUGCAUACUAGGUGAUGGCACGGCCAUGAGCCGUGUCAGUGCCGUAGGGAAACCGUUAAGUGUGCCGCCUGGGAAGUACGGUCGCAAGGCUAAAACUUAAAGGAAUUGGCGGGGGAGCACCACAAGGGGUGAAGCCUACGGUUCAAUUGGACUCAACGCCGGU